rnacentral:rRNA from 1 species
AGUGAACGCUGGCGGUAGGCUUAACACAUGCAAGUCGAACGGCAGCACAGUAAGAGCUUGCUCUUACGGGUGGCGAGUGGCGGACGGGUGAGGAAUACAUCGGAAUCUACUCUUUCGUGGGGGAUAACGUAGGGAAACUUACGCUAAUACCGCAUACGAUCUACGGGUGAAAGCAGGGGAACUUCGGACCUUUCGCGAUUGAAUGAGCCGAUGUCGGAUUAGCUAGUUGGCGGGGUAAAGGCCCACCAAGGCGACGAUCCGUAGCUGGUCUGAGAGGAUGAUCGGCCACACUGGAGCUGAGACACGGUCCAGACUCCUACGGGAGGCAGCAGUGGGGAAUAUUGGACAGUGGGCGCAAGCCUUAUCCAGCCAUACCGCGUGGGUGACGGAGGCCUUCGGGUUGUAAAGCCCUUUUGUUGGGAAAGAAAAGCAGCAGGUUAAUACCCCGCUGUUCUGACGGUACCCAAAGAAUAAGCACCGGCUAACUUCGUG